GGCAAGGGCCGUAGCUCAGUGGUAGAGCAUCUGCUUUGCAUGCAGAAGGCCCCAGUUUCAAUCCUGGCACCUGCCA